CAAUCUGUUGAGAGGUUGGGUGCAACUGUUGUUCUCGUUGGAGAUUCUUAUGAUGAGGCACAAUCAUAUGCUAAAAAGCGGGCUAAAGAGGAAAGUCGUACCUUUAUACCCCCUUUUGAUCAUCCAGACGUUAUCAUGGGACAAGGUACUAUUGGAAUGGAGAUUGUGCGCCAAAUGCAAGGCCCAUUGCAUGCAAUCUUUGUUCCCGUUGGUGGUGGUGGGCUCAUAGCUGGCAUUGCUGCUUAUGUAAAGAGGGUUUCCCCAGAGGUAUGUGGUUUCUUAUUGUAAACAUUACUAUUGCAUAUUGUUGCGUGGGAGCUUGGAGUUCUUUCAUUCUUUGUAGAUGACAUGCACUUGCCACUUCAUAUAUUCAGUUUCCUUCCUUUUUUAUUACUUUCGAGCCUUGAAUCAUCAUAUAUAUUUCAAGACUUGAAAUUUCAAUUGGUUUUUGUUAAAGUUGGGAAUUUAGUUUGUUGCUAAUUGCUAGAUAACUUGAUCUGACCUUGGCAAUUAUGUUGACAUAUCAUAAUAGGCGUCCCUGGUCAGAUACUUAAGAUCUUCAUAGAAGCUGACUUAGGAAAGUUUUCAAUUGAAUGUUACGUAUUGAUGACAAUUUCACCUUACAGACAUAGAUGAAUUAGAAUAGUUUAAGACUUAGAAGCAUGUCUCAUUUUCCAGUCUUUAGAAAUUAAUAGGCGAGCAAGCUUUUCUAACGCUACUUUAUACUUUUUGCAUUGCCUAAUUUUAAUUUGAUACAUAGUGCCUUUGAUUAAUUAAUUAUAUUCAGAACUUGGUCUUGUUCAAACUCAGAUAACUAUAGGACUACCAAUAUGAUUAUAUGCAUUUGUAGCAAAAACUAGAGUGGACUUAAAUUCUUGAUAUUUUGAACUCAUGAUCAUGGUACAUUGAGAAUCUCUUAAUACACUAGAUGAAACUCGAAGGUUUUCUUAUCUAUUUUCAUCUCUAACUUGUUUUUUUCUUUUCAUUUAUGAUCUUACAAGAGGCCUGCAUCCAGCACACCUGUUACAUCCUUGAUUGAAACUUAUGUUAUACUGUUGGAAAUUCACUUUUAUGUUAUACAGAAUAGAGCUUCAUAAUGAACCUUGAAAUAUUAUUCCUCUCUAAUUUUUCUUUCAUUCAUUCAUUCCUUUUCCAUUUUUUUUAUGUUUAGUUUUGUUUCAUAAACUUCAAACUAAUAAUCCCUACAAAUGUUUUUCAUCUGCUUUCUCUUCUCUUUCGCUCUCUUUUUCCUGUUCUUUUUAUUUUCUUUCUACUAUAAGAAAAGGUUCUCAGGUCAAGCCCCAGUUGGUUUGUUUGUACCCUUUUACAUCAACGAGUAGUGCAACGCAAAGAAAUAUCAAGCAACAAUACGAUCAGCUUGUUAAGUGUCAUGGAAACAAAGGAUUGACAUUAGCUCAGAACACUCUUGCAGGUUUUACAAAGCUAUCAUCCACAUUGAGUAAUUUAGAGAUGCUUGACUUAAAAUACAAUUACUUGAAUGAUAGCAUUCUGUUAUCUCUGAGUGAGCUUUCAUCUCUUCGAUAUUUAGAUCUAUCAUACAAUCGAAUUGAAGGAUCAAGUCAUUCAAGAGUGGGAAUUCUUUGAAGAAUAGUGUUCUUCUCCAUAUGAGAAAUCUUUCAUUCUUGAAGAAUUUAAGAUUGAGCGAUAAUCACUUGGAAGGAAGGGUCAUAUUCAAGGUAGACUGAUUUUACCUGAUUCUUUUUAAUUACCAAGUUAUGAGUUGAAAUAUGUAGUUAGUUAUAAGUGCAUUUCUAAAUUAGUAUCUGCCUCUGCUGUUUUGUCUUCUUUUUGGGCAAUUAUAUUUCAUUAUGUUUUUACAACCACAAGGUUUCUAAAUUCUGCAAACCUUCUUAAAAUAUUAUGUCUCUCUUUUUUAUUUUCAUUUUCAAUUUAGUUGGUAGUACGUAAAUAUUCCACCAUUGUGGAUGAGUUUAUUUUUUCGCAAAAACUCUUUUAAUGCUAUAAUAUAUUAAUUGAUUUUAUCUCACCUUUCAUUAUAUUAAAUAAUUUUGUUACCUAAAACCUCUUAUACUGUAACACAUGUAGCAUACUUUUUGCAAACAAAAAUAUGUAAAGAAUUGUUGUAAUUUUUUUGAGCAUAUGCCACAGCCCACAAAAGAGAAUAUAAUGUUUUAAAUUAGCUUUCGUUGAUUUUUUUACACAAAUUUGGAAUUUUCCUUUACACCCCUUUAUUAAUUUUACUUUGAUUUGUUCAAUAUAUAAUUCAGAUUGUCAGACUUGAAAUUUGCCUCCAGAAACUAUAUGGAGAGCUUUGUACAUUUCCUUUUCCAUGGCCCCAUGUCUACUACGAUUUCAACCAUUCUAUACCAAGAAGUAUGCUACUUAUAAGUUACUUUGAUUUCUUUUACUCAUUCUACUUGCAAGGAAGAGAGCAAGUUGUACUUGUAUGUAAGUUACCAAGCAGAAAGAGAUCUAAAUAAUUAGUGGAUGAUAGAAAUUUCAUAUGAUCUUGAAUUUGCUACUCGAUAAGUGAUCAUUCUUUUUUGUCCGAGACUUGUUUUCUCUCAAAGUAAUGAUUAUGUAAUUCUCUUGAUGUUGAUUGGCUGCCUACUUUUAUAGGAUUAUGAGUAUGCAAGUUAUAAUCCUGUUGCCUUUGAUAUUGCAAAUCACUUCUGUGAGAUGGCUGCCGAUUAUACACAGAUACACCCCAUGUUAUGGAUUAUAGUAAAUACCCAGCUUAUUAAGAGAGUAAGAUGGCAUCCACUUUCACAGCCAUGUCAUCAGUUGGGUCAUUCGUUGCAUCUAAUGGUUUGGCCAUAAAAUAAUUUAUGGUUUUGCUCAAUCAAGUGACUGAGAUUCCGUUUAACAAUUUUCUUUAUUGCUGGAACAAGUCUUAACUAAGAUCAAGAUCAAAGUACUUCACUAAGUUAUAUAUGCAGGCAUUGCAAUACUUUGGCUUCAUCUAAGCUUGAGCCAGCCCUCUGUUGUAUAUUGUUUCUUCUUCUUUUUUGAUUUUUUUCCUUUGAUUAAUGAGAGGUGAUGAUGAUUUGGCAUUAUCUUUUCACCAGGAUGAAUUUUGUUUUUGUAAUUGUAAUACUUUGUGUAUUUUUUUUGUAUUAAAUUACAUAUUGAAUCAA